GCCUAGCCCGGAUAGAAGCGAAAAUCCUUUUUAUUUUAGCGAGGCACGAGCAAAGUAAAAAGAUUGCAGCGGAUAGCCGGAACAGCU
rnacentral:sRNA from 1 species